UGGGGAAUUUUGGACAAUGGGCGCAAGCCUGAUCCAGCCAUGCCGCGUGCGGGAAGAAGGCCUUCGGGUUGUAAACCGCUUUUGUCAGGGAAGAAAUCUUCUGAGUUAAUACCUCGGGAGGAUGACGGUACCUGAAGAAUAAGCACCGGCUAACUACGUGCCAGCAGCCGCGGUAAUACGUAGGGUGCAAGCGUUAAUCGGAAUUACUGGGCGUAAAGCGUGCGCAGGCGGUUUUGUAAGACAGAGGUGAAAUCCCCGGGCUCAACCUGGGAACUGCCUUUGUGACUGCAAGGCUUGAGUGCGGCAGAGGGGGAUGGAAUUCCGCGUGUAGCAGUGAAAUGCGUAGAUAUGCGGAGGAACACCGAUGGCGAAGGCAAUCCCCUGGGCCUGCACUGACGCUCAUGCACGAAAAGCGUGGGGAGCAAACAGGAUUAGAUACCCUGGUAGUCCACGCCCUAAACGAUGUCAACUGGUUGUUGGGAAGGUUCCUUCUCAGUAACGUAGCUAACGCGUGAAGUUGACCGCCGGGGGAGUACGGCCGC
rnacentral:rRNA from 1 species